rnacentral:rRNA from 1 species
UGGGGAAUAUUGCACAAUGGGGGAAACCCUGAUGCAGCGACGCCGCGUGAACGAAGAAGGUAUUCGUAUCGUAAAGUUCUGUCCUAUGGGAAGAUAAUGACAGUACCAUAGAAGAAAGCUCCGGCUAAAUACGUGCCAGCAGCCGCGGUAAUACGUAUGGAGCGAGCGUUGUCCGGAAUUAUUGGGCGUAAAGGGUACGCAGGCGGUUUAAUAAGUCGAAUGUUAAAGAUCGGGGCUCAACCCCGCAAAGCAUUGGAAACUGAUAAACUUGAGUAGUGGAGAGGAAAGUGGAAUUCCUAGUGUAGUGGUGAAAUACGUAGAUAUUAGGAGGAAUACCAGUGGCGAAGGCGACUUUCUGGACACAAACUGACGCUGAGGUACGAAAGCGUGGGGAGCAAACAGG